GAUGAACGCUGGCGGCGUGCCUAAUACAUGCAAGUCGAACGCUGAAGGAAGGAGCUUGCUCUUUCCGGAUGAGUUGCGAACGGGUGAGUAACGCGUAGGUAACCUGCCUGGUAGCGGGGGAUAACUAUGGGAAACGAUAGCUAAUACCGCAUAACAGUAGAUGUUGCAGGACAACUAUUUGAAAGGGGCAAUUGCUCCACUACCAGAUGGACCUGCGUUGUAUUAGCUAGUUGGUGAGGUAACGGCUCACCAAGGCGACGAUACAUAGCCUGCCUGAGAGGGUUGUCGGCCCCACUGGGACUGGGACCCCGCCCCGACCCCUACCGGGGGCCGCAGUAGGGGAACUUUGGACAAUGGGCGCAAGCCUGCCGCAGCAAUCCGGCUUGGGUGAGGAGGUCUUUGGAGUGGUAAACUCCGUUUGUUGGGAAGAAAGAGCGUGAGAGUGAUAACUUGAUACUGUGACGGUACCUUACGAGAAAGCACCGGCUAACUACGUG
rnacentral:rRNA from 1 species